CUUUGGUCGGAACGGACGCUCCUGACUCGGCUUCGCGUAUCGUGUGGAUCCCCCAUGGCGGUUUGCUCGAUUAAAGCUUAAUGUAGGUCAAUUUAGCGAUUUGUCGCCUGCCCACCCAGCAGUUCGAAAGCAUGCAACAUUGCGAAUAGACAAAUGGAUACCACUUUGGUGGGGAAAACCUAGCUGAGUUCAUGUGUGCGGAGAGCAGAAACUGGCAAUGGACUUGGCCGGACGAAAGGCAUCGUGACACAAGGCGAAGCGAGGCGAGACUGGCAGAGGAGCCCAGAAAAGCCAGCACUACUAUCGUAAUCAGCUGGUGUAAAGCUAGUUCACUCCCCACCAU